rnacentral:rRNA from 1 species
UACGUAGGGUGCAAGCGUUAUCCGGAAUUAUUGGGCGUAAAGAGCUCGUAGGCGGUUUGUCACGUCUGCUGUGAAAACUGGAGGCUCAACCUCCAGCCUGCAGUGGGUACGGGCAGACUAGAGUGCGGUAGGGGAGAUUGGAAUUCCUGGUGUAGCGGUGAAAUGCGCAGGAUAUCGGGAGGAACACCGAUGGCGAAGGCAGGUCUCUGGGCAUUAACUGACGCUGAGGAGCGGAAAGCAUGGGGAGCGAACAGG